rnacentral:rRNA from 1 species
CCUACGGGAGGCAGCAGUGGGGAAUAUUGCACAAUGGGCGAAAGCCUGAUGCAGCAACGCCGCGUGAAGGAAGAAGGGUUUCGGCUCGUAAACUUCUCUCAACAGGGACGAAAGAAAUGACGGUACCUGAAUAAGAAGCCCCGGCUAACUACGUGCCAGCAGCCGCGGUAAUACGUAGGGGGCAAGCGUUAUCCGGAAUUACUGGGUGUAAAGGGUGAGUAGGCGGCAUGGUAAGCCAGAUGUGAAAGCCCGGGGCUCAACCCCGGGACUGCAUUUGAAACUGUCAGGCUGGAGUGCAGGGGAGG